CAAUAGCGUAUAUUUAAGUUGUUGCAGUUAAAAAGCUCGUAGUUGAAUUUCGGGUGGGACGCAGCGGUCUCGCAUUGCGUUUGUACUGCUGCAGCCCUCCUUCUUGCCGGGGGCGGCCUCUCGGACUUCACUGUCUGGGGGUCAGAAUCGGCGAUGUUACUUUGAGUAAAUUAGAGUGUUCAAAGCAAGCUUACGCUCUGAAUAUAAUAGCAUGGGAUAACACGACAGGACUCUGGCCUAUCGUGUUGGUCUAUAGGACCAGAGUAAUGAUUAAGAGGGACAGUCGGGGGCAUUCGUAUUCCGUUGUCAGAGGUGAAAUUCUUGGAUUUACGGAAGACGAACAUCUGCGAAAGCAUUUGCCAAGGAUGUUUUCAUUGA
rnacentral:rRNA from 1 species